rnacentral:misc_RNA from 1 species
GAUGAAGAACGUAGCGAAAUGCGAUAAGUAAUGUGAAUUGCAGAAUUCAGUGAAUCAUCGAAUCUUUGAACGCGCAUUGCGCCUCCCAGUAAUCUGGCGGGCAUGCCUGUUCGAGCGUCAUUUCAACCAUCAAGCCCUGCUUGUGAUGGGGUCCUGCGGCUGCCCGCAGGCCCUGAAAACCAGUGGCGGGCUCGCUAGUCACACCGAGCGCAGUAGCACAUCUCGCUCAGGGCGUGCGGCGGGCUCCAGCCGUUAAAGCACCCACCUUUCGCAAGGUUGACCUCGGAUCAGGUAGGAAUACCCGCUGAACUUAAGCAUAUCAAUAAGCGGAGGA